rnacentral:tRNA from 1 species
GUCUAGAUAGCUUAAAAUAAAGCAUGUUAUUGAAGAUAGCAAUAUGGGAGUUCCUCCGGACA